rnacentral:pre_miRNA from 1 species
ACAAUUAUGGAAUGACAAGCAUGUACUGAAACUGAGAGUAUAUGGGCACUGUGUCCAACUGAAAGAGAAAAGACACAAAGUUUCCUUAUAAAUACAGUACAAAUCACAAGUUCAGCCAUCUUAUAUGUACAGUAAUCUUCCAAUAGGUCUAGCAUGUGCUGAAACUGUGUGUUGUGUGUACAAUGUUCUCAUAUACACACAGUUUCAGCACAUGCUGGAUCUACUUGAAGACUACUGUUCUUAUAAGGUACUGAACUUGUUAUCUGUACUGUGUAUAUAUGAGAUCUCUGUAUUCUUGCUCUUUUAGUUUGACACUUUGUUCUCAUAUACACUCGGUUUCAGCACAUGCUUGACUUACUUGCUUGU